GUAUUCUAUCUAUAUGUCUUGACCAAAAUACGUGCCAGCAGUCGCGGUAAUACGUAGAAGACUAGUGUUAUUCAUCUUUAUUAGGUUUAAAGGGUACCUAGACGGUUUAACUAGUCCAAAACAGGAUACGGUUAUACUAGAGUUAUAUUUGAAAAGGGGAGUAUUUAUAGAGUAGAGUUGAAAUUUGAAGAUCCUAUAAGGACUGAUAACGGCGAAAGCAACCUUUUAUGUAAUAACUGACGUUGAGGGACGAAGGCUCGGGUAACAAAUAGGAUUAGAUACCCUAGUAGUCCAAGCAGAAAAUUAUGAAUGUCAUAGAUUAGAUAUAUUUGAUCUAUAAAUGAAAGUGUAAGCAUUCCACCUCAAGAGUAAUGCGGCAACGCAGGAACUGAAAUCAUUAGGCCGUUUCUGAAACCAGUAGUGAAGUAUGUUAUUUAAUUCGUAGUUACGCGAAAAACCUUACCACAAUUUGAAUAUUAUCUUUAUAAUCUCUUAAAUAAGGAGAAGUACAUUAGAUAUUACAAGCGUUGCACGGCUGUCUUCAGUUAAUGUCGUGAGAUAUUGGUUAAUUCCAUUAAAUUAACGGAAACCCUUGCUUUAUUUACUAAAUAUAUAAAUAAAGCAGAACACCUAUACAAAGGUUUGAUAACAGGGACAAAGACAAGUCAUCAUG
rnacentral:rRNA from 1 species